ACAUCUUGCUAGAAACUAUGUGGUGGAGGGGAGGAAGGCAGCCAAGAGGUAGUUGGCCGGUUUUCGAGGCCAUGGUGGUCAAAAUUGCUGAGAGGCAACACUCGAAAGCUACAUCAAGGACACCGGAGGAUGGACCAGAAGACCUGAGACCAAGACGACCCAAGCCCAACCCAUAGUAUGCUUCACUGACAAAUGUUGAUGCUUCAUCAUCACAUAGACCAAAGGUUUCAGAGAAGGCUGGUAGAGCUCUCUAUGAGUGUGAGCUGUGGGAGAUAACCAAGAACUGACAACCACCUACAGAAGAGGUGGCGAUAAUGGCUCUCCAAGAGGAGGUUGUGAGUCUGAAGGCUUUUAUUCAACAAGGAGGCACUUAG